CCCUUAGAUGUUCUGGGCCGCACGCGCGCUACACUGAUGCAUUCAACGAGUCUAAAACCUGGUCUGAUAGGGCUGGGUAAUCUUUUGAAUGUGCAUCGUGAUUGGGAUAGAUGAUUGCAAUUUUUCAUCUUCAACGAGGAAUGCCUAGUAAACGCAAGUCAUCAGCUUGCAUUGAUUACGUCCCUGCCCUUUGUACACACCGCCCGUCGCUCCUACCGAUUGAAUGAUCCGAUGAAUAUCAUAGACUGAGAGUAUAAGCAGGUUCGCCUGUCUUUGCUUCUCGGGAAGUGAAGUAAAUCUUAUCAUUUAGAGGAAGGAGAAGUCGUAACA
rnacentral:rRNA from 1 species